rnacentral:rRNA from 1 species
UAAUACGGAGGGUGCAAGCGUUAAUCGGAAUUACUGGGCGUAAAGGGUGCGUAGGUGGGAUAAUAAGUUAGCUGUGAAAUCCCUGGGCUCAACCUGGGAAGGUCAGCUAAGACUGUUAACCUAGAGUAUAGGAGAGGGUAGUGGAAUUUCCGGUGUAGCGGUGAAAUGCGUAGAGAUCGGAAGGAACACCAGUGGCGAAGGCGGCUACCUGGCCUGAUACUGACACUGAGGCACGAAAGCGUGGGGAGCAAACAGGAUUAGAUACCCUGGUAGUCCACGCUGUAAACGAUGUCAACUAGCUGUUGGUCUUAUGAAUGAGAUUAGUGGCGCAGCAAACGCGAUAAGUUGACCGCCUGGGGAGUACGGUCGCAAGAUUA